rnacentral:rRNA from 1 species
AAAUUGAAGAGUUUGAUCAUGGCUCAGAUUGAACGCUGGCGGCAGGCCUAACACAUGCAAGUCGAACGGUAACAGAAAGCAGCUUGCUGCUUUGCUGACGAGUGGCGGACGGGUGAGUAAUGUCUGGGAAACUGCCCGAUGGAGGGGGAUAACUACUGGAAACGGUAGCUAAUACCGCAUAACGUCGCAAGACCAAAGAGGGGGACCUUCGGGCCUCUUGCCAUCGGAUGUGCCCAGAUGGGAUUAGCUAGUAGGUGGGGUAAA